rnacentral:rRNA from 1 species
CAAUAGCGUAUAUUAAAGUUGUUGCAGUUAAAAAGCUCGUAGUUGGAUUUCGGGGCAGCCUGGCUGGUCCGCCGCAAGGCGAGUACUGGUCAGCCGCCCUUCCUCUCGAAAGCCCCGACUGCUCUUUAUUGCAGUGGUCGGGUAGUUCGGGACGUUUACUUUGAAAAAAUUAGAGUGUUCAAGGCAGGCCUACGCCUGAAUACAUUAGCAUGGAAUAAUGGAAGAGGACCUCGGUCCUAUUUUGUUGGUUUCCAGGACCGAAGUAAUGAUUAAGAGGGACAGCUGGGGGCAUUCGUAUUUAAUUGUCAGAGGUGAAAUUCUCGGAUUUAUGAAAGACGAACAACUGCGAAAGCAUUUGCCAAGGAUGUUUUCAUUAA